ensembl:lncRNA
CUAACGGCAGUGACCCUCCAGAGGGUGUUAGGAAGCAGAGGCCCAGCCGCCCUCCCCGCCUGCCCCGCACCUGGGAGCCGCCUCCCGGGACCAGGCUCAGGGCCUGGCGAGCGCUGUCACCUGGGAGGCCUCUGGGGGAGGCGGAGGAGGGGUCCAGAGGGCCUGGACGGUACCUUGUUAACGGUCGGGGUUCUGGGCCUUGGACGGGGGAGUCCCUCGUGAGCCCCGCUGGCUUUAGAAACAAGCGGAAUGAGGUUUCUGCAGAAAACAGCUCCGGUCCCUCGGGCCGCGCAGCGCCCGCCCGGUCGCGGCAGUUGUGGCGGUUGGUCCAGCGGGUCAGGGCCUCCUGACGUUGGCCCCGCCCCUCGGCCCCGCCCACAGCGCAUAAAAGAGCGGGCCGGGCGGUGCGGUCCUGGCGUCAAGCACCGUGACGUAGACGUUAACCGCACCUUCAGGAAUAACCUCUUCUGGGAGCGGUACGGAAUCAAGUGGGCCCCCAGGUUCCUGGCGGGGAGGCCCUGGACCUGGGUUGGAGCUGGGGUGGCAGGUUGUCGACCGUCGCCCGUCCUGGCAGUACCGGCUGAACCUCGAGGGGGCGCGAGUACACACGUUAGGAGCCGGGGCAGAGGUGGAGGGCUCGCGGCGGGUGGCGGUUGGGGCGGGGAGAGUGGGGCGGGGCACCCGCGGGAGGGGAGGGGCUCCAGGCGGCAGAGACCUGGCUGGACAGGAGUUCAGAUCGAUUGAAUUCGGGUUAGAGCGGUCAAAUGACGCCCCUCUCGAUGGUGUUGCUUACAUAUUUCUACUUCUACAGUUUCUAUCAUUUGUAAAAACAGAUUGGUGAACCCCAAAUUCCAUCACUUAGGGACCCAGUCCCAUCCCAUCUCCUGCGUUCACCACAUCCUUGACCAGCACAUGCCUUUCACAGAGGACCCGAGACCUCUGGCCUCACCCCAUCGCUAGGCUCUCAGUAUGCUUGUUUUUGGCCAUGCAUGUGGCUUGUGGGCGCUUAGUGCCCUGACCAAGGAGCAAACCCAUGCCCCCUGAGGUGGAAGAACAGACUCAUAAUCCCUGGUCAGCCAGGGAACCCCCCAACCCACCGCUGCUAGUAUGCAUUUUAAAAACAAGAAUUCUUGGGAAUUCCCUAGCAAUUCAGUGGUUAGACUCCACACUCUAAUUGCAGAGGGCCCAGGUUGCAUCCCUGUCAGGGAACUAAGAUCUCACAAACCAAGCAGUGGGGCAAAAAGAAAAAAAGAAGCGGGAUUCUUUUUUUACACGUGACCUCGAGCCUGUUGCAACACUGGAAGCAUGUACUGUAAUCCCCUAAUACGCACCCAGAGAUCACAUCUCCCAACACUGCAUGCUUUCUGAACAAGCUGUUCCAACCCAGGUAACUGGGAGUGGGUUGAAGACACUGGCAGCCAGGGAAAACGUAUGGGCAGGCAAGAGAGAGGGUUCUGCCACAACCAAUUCAGGUUGCAGGCUAUCGGCCUGCAGAUCAAGCUCACUCUGGACCAAGAGACACUCUUCAGAGCACCCACCCCAGAGAGAAGAGGGGUCUGGCCACAGCAGGGCUGACAGCAACAAGGCAGGAGUGGGCUGUGCUGCCUGAGUGGUGACCCUAGACCCCUCGUGCUCCUCUCACAGUGAGAUGUCUCUACUGAGGGGCCCUGCCAGUCCCAAAGCAGGGUUGCCCCAGGACUCCUUGGCUUUGGGGGCUCAUUUCUUAAACACACUUGCUCUGUCGUGAGGCUCUGUCAGACAAUAUAAAACUAAGAGCAUCGGUGUGAAAGAUGCCCCCUGAGUCCCCUUCCCCAGGCAGCAGGCCCUGUUCCACGUGCUGGUGGCCUACUCCAUGUAUGACUCUGAGAAUAUCUGCACGCCCAGGCCCUGCCCAUUCCAGGGGGCCUUCCUGCUGGUCGCGAAUCAGGAGCAUCCAGGAGCAGAGGUGGGACUGUCAGGAGGGGACAGAGAGGCCUCCACGUGGGUCCUCCACACACGUCUGGCUCUUGCAGGAGGUGGGCUACUUCUAGGACAUGAACAAGUUUGCAGCCGUCCUACUGAUGUUCCUGAAUUAAGAGGAUGCCUUCUGGAGGCUGGUGCAGCUGAUGACUGACGACAAGCACACCAUGGGCGGCUUCAUCCCUGGAUUCCUGACAUUGCUAAGAUUCCAGGCCCAUCACAGGCACAUUCUCGGCAGAGCCCUCCCCAAGUUGAAGGGACAUGUGAGCAGAUGUCUGUGGGGAUUUACACACCCACGUGGUCCAUGCAGUACUUCAUCAACCAGGGCCACACGACAGGCCUGACUCCGUGACCCCGCCGAGGCCCCGGCAACCAGCUCCACCCAGUCUGCUGAAGACGGCGCCACUGGGCCCAGGACACCCCUCCUGCCCUGAGGCAGCUGAAGCCAGCAUCCCUCCCAUGAGUGACCAGCACCAGCACAGCCAUGAUGGAGCCAGGACAGCACCCCAAGAGCUGCGUCAAGACCCCACACAACCGCAUGACCCCCUGAGCUCUGUGUCCAUAGGGAGCCUGGACGUUCAGGGGCCUCCAGAGGAUGAGGUGACUGUGAGCACAGGGACCCCGAGGCUCCCGGGGACCCCGAGGUCCCCAGAAGCCAGCAGCAUGCCCUGCUUUUUCACGCUGAGCUUCUUGGAGGAUGGACCCUACCCCUACCCCCAUAUAGCACAAGUCCCUGACUCCAAAGGGCCUGAAUUUGGGCUCCAGGAGAGCAGAGGCUGUGUGAGCACCCCCCAGCCUGGACUGUGACUAAAGGGGCUGCCCCGGCCAGUCAGGAACGCUGGCUCAAGGCAAGGCGAGCCCUCUCGGAGCUGUAUGUGGUCUCCUACAGCCUGAGCAUGCCCCACAAGGUCCCUUUGGUGACCUGAGGAGCCUCUGGGAGCAACAGGCCACCUCCACCCUCACACGCAUAAGGAGGCGGGGCUAGAGCAGAGGGUGCCGCUGUUUGGGCAGACGCAACACACUGUGUCCAAGUCAGUGACUGCCUUUUGGGGCCCCUAAAUCUCAGCAAAUACAGCCCCACCUGGGGUCCAACGGGGUUCCCUGCCCCCCCAGCCAUUCGCUAUGAAGGUCUCCCUCCAGGGGACGGGCAGACUUUGGUUUCAGUUUCCCCCCUUGCUGGUUAAAGGUUAAUACAUUUUCGUGCAUUAAGUACUAGACUGGCUGGUUCUUGUGGCACCCAGACGUCUCCGAAGGAUGCUCUCAGGGCCCCCAGAGGCAAAGGGGGCACCAGCUGGACAAAACUGAGGUUCCCAGCUGCCUUGUGGGAGGCUACAGGCACUGCAGACUCUGAGCUUCAGCCAAACCCCAGGAUCAAGACCAUCGGAUGAUUGACUGCCACUCAGCCUGUGCCCGGUGGGCCAGGGCUGGGCUCCAGGAGAGCAACAGCUGGCGGGCAGGGAGCAUCAGUUCAGUCACUCUGUCCACC